UUUAGACUUUCGAGUUUGCCUUUAGGCAAACUUCGUUCAUUGUAUGCACUUUUUCAGCAUCGCUUACAAAAGUGCAUAAUAAACAAUCCUCGAUUGUUCACACAAUCUCCGGUUGUUUAUUUUAUAG
rfam:Treponema pedis str. T A4, complete genome.